AAUCAAAUUCUGAUUACUGAAUUGACAAUCGUUUUGUGAAUCUUACAUCAAGUAGUAGGCUAGGCUGAGCAUCACAACUGAAGACAGUCAAACAAUGCCCUCAUUUUUCUUUGCAGUUGGUUAUACUAUCCAAGUUGCAUCUUAUUCAUUAAUUCAUUUCUCAAUUAUUAUUUCUAUGGGUUUAAUAUUGAUUCUAUCAUUUCUAUGUUCCAAAUGUUUUUUUCCCUCCAUUUAAAAAGAACAAUAUUUUUAUUUCGUUUACAACUCUUAGUUUUGGUUAUGAUUGAUUAAACAUUUAAAGGGCAGAAUGCAACCGAUCAAAUAUCUCUGAUCUAAUCGAUCAUGAGAAAAGGUUAGAUCGGCUAUUGACACCAGAAGUGCUUAUCUUUCAGGUCCCAUAAAUCAGGUAAGUAUCAUUCCUGGGAUUCUUUACUUUUUCUUUUUGAUAGUGUAACUCAUAGCGAACCUUUAGUCAGUGUUGGUUUUUCACAAACUUCAGAUGGUAGGGAUAUAGGUCAGGAAACUGUCCAAAAAUGCCCCUUGGGGGUUAUGCUUCUACUCUAAUUAUCUAGUUGUCUUGCCUAUUAUAAAUAUUACGAAAUUCUACAAUAUGAAGCGAUCUUUUGGAACAGAUUCAUUUCUUCCCUGUUGCUUUCUGAUUGCUUUGAAAUGUUUAUAAUACAAUUUAGGAAGGCUUAAUUUAUUAUCACACACACACCUCAAUAUAUAAGAUAACCUGAGACUAAAUAAGGAAAACUAAAUAAUUAGAAUAUGAAAAAAUCAAUAUGGUCAACAUACCUUAUAAAUUCCUAAAUUUGGGAAUCUUCUAAUUUAAUUAGGACGUGAAAUCAUUCUCAAUACUCUAAUUUCACACUCCCCUCAAGCUGAGGCGAAGAUAUCGACGCGCCCCAGCUUGACAACAGACGAUGCAGCAAUAAGGGGCCGAUAUACCUGUCACCAGAGGCGCUCUAACCAAUGUGAAAAAAUUCAACACGCAUCCCGCACGGGUGGCAACACGCCCAACCGCAAUUACGGAUAUACGGGAAACGUGAGAACAGACAUGGCAGUUGCUGCGACUUUCUGGGACAUGAAGGCUGUGGGGCUGCGCGCGGGUGACUUUCUACGCAAGGGAAAAUGCUAGUUUAAAGGCCUCUCGACAAUAUUUCGGCGACAGCAGAGCUCCGCCCGCGCGGAGGCUAACCAGGUAAUGUAGCUCUGAUACCAAAUAGAAUUUAGAAGGCUUUAAUUUUAUUAAUCACACACAUCACUAAAAUAUAUAAAUAACCUAAAAGACUAAAUAAUGAAAACUAAAUAGUAAAUAUGAAAAAUCAUAUGGUCAACAUGACCUAUUAUAAUCCUAAUUUGGGAAAUCUUCCUAUUUUUCGGAAGCUGAAUCAUUCUAAUAUUCUAAUUUCAACACUUCACUCCCCCUCAAGCUAGGGCGAAGAUAUCCGACGAGCUCUCAUCUUGACAACAGACGCUUGCCGCAAUAAGGGGCCAUGGACUGCACAGAGGGGCCACAUCUAACCAAUGUGAAAAAAUUCACACGCGCCCGGCACGUGUGGCACACCCAAACACGCGAAUUACGGAAUAGGGUAAACUGAGAACAACACUGGGAAUGAAGCAAAUCAACACGGCCCCCGCACUGGUGAACGUGAGAACAUAUAAUGUUGCUUGUGCUGCGACUGUCUGGGGCUUAGGCUGUGGCUGCGCGCGGGACUUUCUACGUACAAGAAAAUGCUAGGUAAAGGCUCGGAUAAAUAUUUGACGACAAUCAGAGCCGCCGCCGGCGGCGAAGCGGAGAGCUGAUCAAGAUAUUGUAGCUCUGAUACCAAAUGAAAUUUUAAGAAAGGCUUAUUUUAUUAUCACACACACAACUAACCCUCAAUAUAUAAUAUAACCUAAGACUAAAUAAGGAAAACUAAAUAAGUAAAUAUGCAAAAUAUCAAUAGGCAACAUGACCUAAUUUAAAUUCCUAAUUUGUAAUCUCCUAAUUUAUUAAUUAGGAAGUAUCAUUCUAAAUAUCUAUUUUCACAACACUCCCCCAAGCUAGGCGAAGAUAUCGAUCUCUCCAGCUUGACAACAGACAUUGCAGCAAUAAGGGGCCGAUGGCACUGCCCAGAGGGGCCACCAUCUAACCAAUGUGAAAAAUUCAACACGCUCCCGCACGUGUGCACAACCCCAAACAACGCGAAUUACGGAUAUAGGUACGGUUAGAACAACAUGGCUAUAUGAAAAAAUUCAACCCGCCCCCGCAACGUGAAAACGUGGAGCACAGACAAUGGCUGUGCUGUCGACUGUCUGUGAAUGAGGCUGUGGCUGCGCGCGGGUGACUUUCUAACGUCAAGGGAAACUAGUUAAGCCUCGGACAUAUUUCGGCGACCAGCAGAGCCGCCGCCGCGGUCGGAGGCCUAACCAAGAGUAAAUGUAGCCUGAUACCAAAUAAAUUUAGAAAGGCUAAUUUUAUAAUCACACCACACAUCCCCUUCAAUAUAAAUAUAACCAGACUAAAUAAGGAAAAAUAAAUAAGUAGAAUAAUGAACAAUCAAUAUGGGCAACAUGAACCCUAUUAAAAUUCCCCUAAUUUUGGGGGAAUCUUCCUAUUUUAAUUAUGAAGUGAAUCAUUCUAAAGAUAUUCUAUUUCAUUCAACACUUCCCCCUCAAGCGGCGGGAAGAUAUCUACGAGCUACAGCUUGACACAGACGAUUGCAGCAAUAAGGGGCCGAUGGACUGGCACAUAGGUGCCCCAUCUAACCAAUGUUAAAAAAUUCAACAACGCUCCCGCACGUGUGGCCAUGCCAAACCCGCGAAUUACGGAUAUAAUAGGGUAACGUGGAACAAAUAUGGCUUAUAUGAAAAAUCAACACGCCCCCGACGUGUGGCACCGCCAAACAACGCGGAUUAACAACAUGGAACGUGAGACAAGACAUGGCUGUGCUGCGACUGUCUGGGACAUGAGGCUGUGGCUGUGUGCGGGUGCUUUCUUUUUCUACGCAAGGGGAAAUGCUUAGGUUCAGGCUCUGACAAUAUUUCGGCGACAGCAGACCGCUCCGGCGGCGAAAGCUGAAGAGGCUGACCAAGAGUAAAUGUGGCUCUGAUACAAGAAAAUUUAGAAUGACUUAAAUUUUAUUAUCACACACCACCAUCAAUAUAUAAUAUAAACCUAAACGAAAUAAGGAAAACUAAUAUAAAAUACUGAAAAAAUCAUAUGGUCCAGCAUGACCUAUUAAUAAAUUCCGAAAUUUGGGAUCUUUCCUAAUUUAAUUAGAGUGAAUCAUCCUAAUUUCUAAUUUCAUCAACAUUAUGUAUCCUUAUGUUUUGCUCCUUCCUCUUUUUGUGUUCUUGAACUGAUUAAUUUUCCGGUUAUUCUUUGUUGACGCUUCUAAGACCUAUAGAUUUGCCAUCACUUACCUCCAUCCCCCAACUCAAUUAACGUAAUUACAUGAAUGGGUUAUUCAAAAAGGGAAAGUCGCUACUUAGCCCCCUACAGUACAAUUGAAUAUUAUAUAUAUUAUUUUUGAUGAUUUUGUAUGUUGAUUGAAGACGGCCAGAAGCCUCACCAGCAGAGUAUGCAAGAGCCAAUAAGGAGCUGCGAAACCUCAGGGGUUCAAUGGAUCUUAUAAAUGAAUUGAGGGCUAAACAGAAGGUAUACUUACUGGGCCUUCAAGAUCAUCUUUUAUUCUCAACACUGUUCGGUUUGGACCUUAUUCAGAGGAUAUGAUGUGUUUUCCAGAGCUUCCAGUAUCAUGUUUGUCCUUCCUGCUUGAGAUUCAAAUAAAGGAAAACUUUAGCUAGGAUUGCCCUUCCAUCCCCAUUUAAGCAUCCAGACACCAAGAAUUCUACUUUAAAAAAUAAAUGAACAUAUAUUUUAUAAUUAAUGAAAUAGGAUGGUUCUCCUUGUUUGAAUAUUUAUUUCUAAAACGUGUCAAAAAUAUGUAAAUUGGUGGUUUUAUACUAUAAUAUCCACUUCAAUAUGAUUUCUAUUUUCUUCAUGGUUAUUUGAAUGCAUGCUUUCUUGAGAGAGAGAGAGAGAGAGAGAGAGAGAGCGUCGGGGUGAAUGGGUGGGUGGGGUCAAGGUCCUGUUAUAUAUCUUUUUUCCCAUGCCCCCUUUUAAACUCAUCUCUAGGUUUCGUCGUCCCAUUAUCUCUCUUACUUCCUCUUGGAUUUUGUUCUAGCACUCUUUUAUGUUGUUUAGCUCCUAAUAUGACAUACGAACAUGAAAUUAUCAGGACUACCAUGCCACCUCAUAAAUAAUCAGCUGAAGCUUGCCUGCUUAUUUUAUGUCUUUGCAUAAUAAUAUAAUAUUCUGGCUUCUGUUCUUAGGAGACUUGAAAGUUUGCAUUGUGCUUUCCUUUAUUUUUUUAUUUUUUUUUGUGUCUGGGGGGUUGCGGUGUAGCCAUAGGAGAAGAGAUUCAAACACCAUCGGUGGAUUAGGGCCCAGUUUUGCUCUCUUGGCAGAGAGUGAAGGCUCAGGGUGUGAAGGUUGUCCCGCCCCUCCCCCAUUUUUAGUACAAAGCCCUACUCGGGGAGAAAUGGCAUGGAGGUUUGCUGUUAUAGGGAGAGAAAUCGUAAUGAUGAACGAUGGGUCCACAGGGAUUGUUUGGAUUUCUCGGAGGUGUAAAGUAAACCACCCUGAGGGUCGUUUGAAGGCUUUGGCAAAUUCUUGAAUGGAUUCUUGAAGAUGGCUGCUUUUAUGGCGCGGUAGAGGGAAAAAGUGAAGUCUUGGAUACAGAAGUGGAAUGGAGACGGACCCUGUGUGAAGUGGCAUUUCAUUAUUAUCAUUCCACCAGAUAGGGACGACUUCAGUGGAGUUAUGUGUAGAGGGGAGGAAGGAGAGGGGUUUCUUUUGGGGAAUGGCCCCUUCUUGUGGAGAGGAAUAUGGACGAUUGUGAGAUAAAUCGUCUUUCUAGGCCUCUUGAUUGGCUCUACUCGUAUCGGGAGGGAGGAUUGUCUUUGUUGGGAGCAUAGUCUUUGCAGUGAAGUCCUUUUACAUGGUAUCA
rnacentral:lncRNA from 1 species